rnacentral:lncRNA from 1 species
AUUUGUUUUAUUUUGAUUACUAUUAUUUCAAGGUACUUAGCAACUUUACUUGACUUUAACAUUUAUGUGGAAAAGGGUCCAAACUAUCUGAUAAUAGGAAAAAGCCUAUUAUCAGCCUAUAUUAUCAGGCUGUAUGUCAGUGUUGUAUGAAUCAUUAAGGCAACGUUCUACCGAACAUCAAAAGUUUUUAACGGCACAAUGUCUGAUCAACACGCCACCGUUUACACACAGCAGACCAAUGUUCUCCUCAGGCGUUUUCAUUUCUGGCCACUAGGGGGCCAAAAGCUGCAGGACUAGCUAACAUCUGAUACACAAGCGAAUAAGUCACCUGAACUAAGACUCACAUUUUACUAAACAUUUACUCUAAUCAUACACCCAGCAUUACUGAAAUACAACAUGUCAUUUCUUUGGGUUCGUGUUUGCUUUUCCUGACGACUAUGACAGCAGCGUGCUGAUGGCAGUCAUGACAGUCAUGGGAGAGAGUUCCCCUUCAGAGUCCACCGGCUGCCAGAAGUUCGAAGUGGCUGCAGCUCCAUCGCUUCAACAACAGCAUCUAACUGGAAAACUGUAAUUAUUCAUGCAGAAAAUGCAUCUGAUCCUUAUUUCAUACGUAAGAAAAGGGUUCUCAAGGAGGAGCCCCCGAUCGUGAGAAUGUUAAAAAGUUUUGAGAACCCAAGACAAUACAUCUUCGCACUUCUGUGCUGUGUGUUUGUGUUUCAUUGUGUUGUUGCUUACUUUGCUUUUGUCUGAGAAUUCACUGGGGCCAACGAUCAGUAGCACAAAUGCCAACCAGCAGCGAAACAGAAAAAUGAAAGCAAAGCAAAGGGUAAAAAGAAUGAAUGGCUGGGAUUAGCUCACAUAGAUUUGCUUAUUCAAAUUUUUGAACCUUGUUGUCGUUUGACCACCAGAACGUGUCGAAGAUUUGUUUUGAUGCAUCCGUCAUAGAACACUAAUUUGCAUGCCAGCUUCAGGUUCAGCAUUUGUAAAGUGAUGGCUGUGAGAGAUUCUGCCAGGGAAACUUACGCAUGCAAUGCUUUGAGUAGCAGUAGUGUGAUUAAAGGGUUACCACAUUCUCCAACGCUGCACAUGGGAUCUGUUGUAACGUUUGCAGGGGAAACAUAAGGAAUCCAUCAGUUGAUUUACAAAGUAAUCCAGCAGUAAUGCUCCCUUGCAUGUUAUGAUUUGUGUUGACAGUGUUGCACUGCUGGAGCAGUAGAGCCCCUUGCUGCGCUGCCUGACUGGCUCCAUUAAAAUGAAUGAGAGGGCUGCGUUUAAUCAUGUGGACCCAACUUCAUGUGUCUGUUUGUUUCACACUGUGAGUCCAUUUACACACAGCGUGCACGUGUGCGGAUUAAAAAUCAUCGAAAGGGUCUCAUCCUUUGCAGGGACGUAAAGGUUUCAUGGAGGCGAGUCAUUGGGAAUUAAGUGUGGAGGUUCAAGGCCGCAGUUCUCUGAACCGACUGUGACUUUAUGUGUGUCUGCGUUGUUAAAGGUCUCAGCUCUUCCUGAU